UUGGACAAAGAUACCAGAACUGUGUACAUUUUGGACCCUGCUCCUAUUAAUCCCAUGUACCGAUGGAACCCACUCGCAAAAUAUGUGCGCAAAAUUAUAUGGAUUGCAGAACACUUACAAAAGGCAAUGUCAAAAGCAUGCCCUGGGUCUAUAUGGAAUGAGGAUAUUCUCCUAUGGCAUCAAAAAAUCCUAGAUGAUAUUCCGGUUUACAACAGGGAACUGUCCGGUUAUGUUGUUCCUCUGUUCAUGUCCACAUGGGAAAAUGAAAGACCACAUUUGCCAAUUUUAAAGGAUGGAUAUGAACUCAGAAAAAUUAUUUUGGGCCAACUCCUAACAUUCAAGGACAAUGAAAGUGAAGAUAACAUGCCUGCCGGUGUACUUGA